rnacentral:tRNA from 1 species
AGCAGUGUAGCUCAGUGGCAAGAGCACGGGUUUAUGCAUCAGAAGUCAUGGGUUCUAAUCCCAGCUUUGCCA